UCAUAUUUAAGAUCCUAGCUCCCUCUCC
rnacentral:piRNA from 1 species